rnacentral:rRNA from 1 species
UAGCUAAUUAGCUAGCCUACCUAACAACCCAAUCAAAUACUACUACUAACCCCUAACACACUACAAACAUUUAACUAAACCAUUCAUUUUCCCUAGUAUAGGCGAUAGAAAAGGAAAAAAGAGCAACAGACAUUAGUACCGCAAGGGAAAGCUGAAAGAGAGGUGAAAAAGACCAAUAAAGCUAAGAAAAGCAGAGAUAACUCCUCGUACCUUUUGCAUCAUGAUUUAGCCAGCAACAUUAAGCAAAGAGCACUUUAGUUUAAUACCCCGAAACUAGCGUGAGCUACUCCAAGACAGCCUAUCAUAGGGCAAACCCGUCUCUGUGGCAAAAGAGUGGGAAGAGCUUUGAGUAGAAGUGACAGACCUAUCGAACCUAGUUAUAGCUGGUUGCCUGUGAAAUGAAUAGAAGUUCAGCCUUCCCGCUUCUCUCUUCACCUAUUGUAAAAACAAAAUAAUGAUUAAGAGAAACUGUAAGAGUUAGUCAAAGGAGGAACAGCUCCUUUGAAACAAGACACAACUUUUUUAAUUGGGUAAAGAUCAUAGUAAUUAAAGUAAAAAAUCUCAGUGGGCCUGAAAGCAGCCACCCAAAAGAAAGCGUUAAAGCUCAGAUACAUAAAAAACUAUUUAUUUAGAUAAAACAAUCUUAACCCCUUAACCCCUAACGGGCCGUUCCAUACUACUAUGGAAGUGAUUAUGCUAAAAUGAGUAAUAAGAGAGCUUAAGGCUCUCUCCUUGCACAUGUGUAAACCGGAAAGGACCCCCCGCCGGAAAUUAACGUCCCCAAAAGAAGAGGGAACUGGGUAUUUUAGAAAACUACAAGAAAACUACCCUAACUACAACCGUUAACCCUACACAGGAGUGCCCUCUUAAGGAAAGACUAAAAGAAGGAGAAGGAACUCGGCAAAACAAGCCUCGCCUGUUUACCAAAAACAUCGCCUCUUGCAAAACUAAAGAAUAAGAGGUCCCACCUGCCCGGUGACACCAAUUUAACGGCCGCGGUAUCCUGACCGUGCGAAGGUAGCGUAAUCAUUUGUCUUUUAAAUGGGGACUUGUAUGAAUGGUAUAACGAGGGCUUAACUGUCUCCUCCCUCUUGUCAAUGAAAUUGAUUUCCCCGUGCAGAAGCGGGGAUACUCUCAUAAGACGAGAAGACCCUAUGGAGCUUUAGAUACUAAGGUAGCCCAUAUUCAAUGAACCCUUGUUAAAGGAUUAAAUCUAUGAUAACCCUACCCCUAUAUCUUCGGUUGGGGCGACAAUGGGGAAAUAAAAAUCCCCCAUGCGGAACGGGAAAAUUUUAUUUAAGAAAACUAUUCUUACCAUAAAACUACUUCCCCAAAUUAAGAGUGACAACUCUAAAUUACAGUAUUUCUGACCAUAAAUGAUCCGGCACUUGCCGAUUAACGGACCAAGUUACCCUAGGGAUAACAGCGCAAUCCCCUUUUAGAGCCCACAUCAACAAGGGGGUUUACGACCUCGAUGUUGGAUCAGGACAUCCUAUUGGUGCAGCCGCUAUUAAGGGUUCGUUUGUUCAACGAUUAAAGUCCUACGUGAUCUGAGUUCAGACCGGAGUAAUCCAGGUCAGUUUCUAUCUAUGUAGUAUUCUUUUCUAGUACGAAAGGACCGAAAAGAAAAGGCCCAUGCUUUAGGUACGCCUUACCCCAAUCUAAUGAAAACAUCUAAAUUAGGUAAAAGGACACAAAACUUUAGCCUCAGAGAAAGGU